rnacentral:pre_miRNA from 1 species
CCACAUUGAGCUCGGGUUUCGUCAGCAGCGGGCUGUGAUGACUAAAAAACAAGUUCGUUGUCGACGAAACCUGCAUACUGUGUGG